rnacentral:rRNA from 1 species
UCCUACGGGAGGCAGCAGUGAGGAAUAUUGCGCAAUGGGCGAAAGCCUGACGCAGCAACGCCGCGUGGAUGAUGAAGUUCUUCGGAAUGUAAAAUCCUUUUGCAGAGGAAGAAUAUCCCGAUUUAUCGGGACUGACGGUACUCUGCGA